rnacentral:lncRNA from 1 species
GCUUCUUGGAAAGAUUUCCCUCCUUGAUAAAAGGGUGUGGACAAUCGGGCAAGUGACUGCAUGUGACAACAGAGAGAGGGCAUGGUACACGGUGGCAGAUGAGCCCGGGACUGGAGGCAGAUCUGGGUUCCAGUUCGGGCUCUACCAGCAGCACCCAUGUGUCCUUCUGUUCUCUGGGCCUCAAUUUCCUGUUGUAAAAUUCAGAACUUGGAAGAGGUAAGUGGUUAGGUCAUUCCUGAGACAUCCCAGAUAAUCACAGCCAUCCAAACGUUGGCUCGGGAGCCCUGAGUAACCAAGACUGCAGGAAGCAACAGUUUAGUAAGGGUUCAGAAUCCUGUGAUUAGGGCUCGAGAAUGAAAUACUCUUCUAAGAGCUUCUCCCAGACCAAAAGGAGCUAAUUAGGAAAGAAUGGUGGCAUUCUCUGGGCAAACUGGAGGAGCCCCUGGGCUUGGCCUCCUUAUGCCUUCCUCCUUGACCCUCCUCUAGCCCCCUUGGACACAACACAACGUCCCCCCUCUGCUUUUUCCCCAGAUACUAUGGUAAACCUGCUCUCAGAUCUUUCUCCACACCUAGAAAAAUUCAUUCAUCGACUAUACACUUUAAUGAAUAUGCACUUACUAUGUACCAGAUAUUCUUUGGCUGCUAGGGCAGAGCAGCAGGGACAUAGCCCCUGUCCCCGUGGGGUCAACAUGCUGGUGGAGGGAGUCAGAGGUAAUAAAAUAAGCAAGUAAGACACACAGUAGAGCAGGCAGAGUUGGCGGAGAACUGGAUCUAACUGGGUUGGGGUUUUGCCAAGCAAGUACAGUCCAACUUGGAGUGUGGAGGGAAGGGUAUAGAAAAGGUAGGGACUAGAAUAACUAACCCUGGAAUUUAGGCUGGGAAAGGAGGGAGUAGGGAUUUGAAAGCGGGUGAGGUCAGUAGUCUGUGGGGCCCUGAGGGGCGAUGGCUCCAAGGCACGAGCCGGAAAGAGGUUUGACAGUGGCUUCUCUGGAGGGCUCAAGCUUGACCAGGAAACUGAGUGCCGAGCCCUGGAAGAUCACUGGGGAGAGGAGGUCAAAGAACUGGGAGGCCAGGGCACCAUCGGCGGGCUGGUAAGUGGAUGGUGAAACCACCAGGCAGGGGGCAGGAGGAGCUGGAGAGAGGACGCGAGAUGGGAGCUAAAAUCCUAAAAUCCGCAGGGAGUGCGGAAAGCAGUGACAGCAGUGAGCGCGGGGAGGCUGGUCCUGAGUCUGGGAUGGGGCGAUGGCGUUCAAGAAGACAUAUUUAAGAGUACUAUGUAAUUUUACGUGUGGGAAGAACCUUUUGUUUUUGUAAUUAGAACUACAGAAAGGGACAGAGCUGUUUAUGUCAUGAAAAGCAGGCCUGAGCAUUAGAAGACUGAGAAACACCUGGGAGGAUCUUGUUUCAACAGAGCUCAAAGCCGUGGCAAAAGGACGGAGCUCGAAUUGUGCAAUUAAACCCAGGCCCCCAGCAAAUGGAAAAUGCCAUCCACUGGCACAGAGACUUCAGUUGGGAGCCGAGGACUGAACUCAGACCACCAUUCUUUGUUCAACAUUUCUUCCUGAGGGGCCUGGAGGAAGUCACACCCACAGGCCAGAGCUCAACAUUCCUUUCUGCUGACCCCAGGUUUUUAGACAAAGCUUUGCCUCCUUAACCAAUCACAAAUCAGAGGAUCUUUGAAUCCACCUAUGACCUGCGGGCCCCGCUUCGAGAUGUCCCACCCUUUUAGGUCAAACCAAUGCACAGUUUCCAUGUAUUGAUUUAUGACUUUGCCUGUAACCUCUGCCUCCCUGCCUUUAAAAACCCUUACCUGUGAGCCACCCUGGAGUUCGGGGCUUAAGCAUGAGCUGCCCGAUUCUCCUUGCUUGGCACCCUGCAGUAAAUGCCUCACUUUCUCUUGCUGCAAAUCCCAAUGUCAGUGCUUGGCUUUGCUGCACCUGGUGGGCAGACCCAAGUUUGGCAACAGAGUCUGUGGGAGAAAGUGCUGUCAGAGGAACAUGCUGGAGCAGCCAGAUUAUAGAAGAAAGAAGUAUCGUUAUGGUUAAGUCUGUGAGCAGAUUUGAGGAGAAGCUAACGAAUGGCACCAAGUGUGUUCAGCAUCUCCCCUUCUAGGGUGUCAUCUGACAGAUGUGUUAUCUGACAGAUGUGCUGCUCAUGCCUUCUGCACCUGAGGUCAGGGAUGCUCACACAGAAUGGGUUGUAACUGCAUAAGGUCGGGAGCCCCCUCUACAUCCACCAAAUAGAGGAUGAGUUGAGUAUGCAGAUAAUAAAGCAGAAUAAGGAAAGGCUUUUUAUGAACUGACAGGGAAAGACUAUCAAGAAAUACUAAGUUAAAAAAAAAAACAAAACCCUCAGUGCCAAACAGUACAUAUAGGAUGCCACCAUUUUUUUUGUCUAAAAAAUGGGGAAGAAUAUCUAUGGAAUAUACUCAUUUAUAUAUGAAUUGAAUAUUCUAAAGCUAGUUGCAAGAAACUAGUACCCUUACUUUUCUCUAGGAAGGAAAACUGGGAAAUAGUAGGAAGAGGAUUAUCACUGUAUAUCCUUUUGUACCCUUUGAUUUUGAGACCAUGUAAAUGCAAUUAUCUAAGAGAGAGAGAGAGGAAGGAGGAGGAGGAGAAAAAGGAGGUGGAAGAGGAAGGGAGAGAAAGAAACGCUGUGCAUGGGCUCUAGAAUCAGACGGACUUGUGAAUUCCAGCUCCACUGCUUCCCAGCUGUGUGACCUUGCCCAAGCUACUCAACCUCUCUGGGGCUCAAUCUGUGCAGGAAAGGGGCAUGACAAUUACAUAAUGCCUCCAACCCACCUGGACUGUUGGGAGAUUGAGACUAAUGAGUUUAAAGCUCUUAGCUAGAAAUGGUUGCUGUAGAUGUUUAGCCAGCCCUGGCUUCACACUCUCCAGACCAGCUUCCAAACUUCCUGGAGGGCACAUGCAAUUCAUCUUUUCCUUUCCCAUGCAAUUCCCCAGGCACCAGUCCAUGGCACUCCCUAUGCCUGCAGGAUACCACAUCAAAGCAGAGUUGGGGGAGCAUUUCAGGAGGUUCCUGUGAAAAACCUACAUGCACACACCCCCACGUGCAGCUGCAGACUGCUAUCUAUACACGAAGUUAUGCAUCGCAGAGUCGACUGCAAAAGGCUGGAGCCCACACAGCGUCUAUCAAUAGGGAACGGGUUAAAUCGACCACAAGAUUUCCAUAUGACGAUGGAACACUUUCCAGCCAAGAAAGGAGGAGGAAGUCCUCACUGCUCUGAUACGGAACAGUCACCAAGACAUAUUUUAAGUAAAAAAAAGGCAGCAUGCAUAACCAGGGAAAUGAAAACUAAAACCACAGUGAGUUACAAUUUCACACAGAUCCAUCUACAAAAAAAAAAAAGCUGAUAAUUGCAGGUGUUGGUGAAGAAGUGGAGUGAGGGGAAUGCUCAAACUACUAGUGGGUGUGCGAAUGGUUAUAACCACUUUUUAAAAUUUUGGCAUUAUCUACUGAAGUUGACAAUGUACUUUCCCAAUGGCCUUGCAAAUGCCCUGGAGAAGUUCUUACCCAACCCCCGCCAUUCCCCCCAACACACACCAAAAGAAACAAUUAAGAACAUUUGCACCAGCUCUGUUCCUAGAACCCCAAAACUGAGGCCAGCACUGAGGCCAAGCACAGUGGCUCAUGCCUGUAAUCCCAGCAGGCAUGAGCCACCCUUUGGGAGCCUGAGGCCGGAGGAUUAUUGAGGUUGAGAGUUCAAGACCAGCCUGGGCAACAUAGUGAGACCUUGUCUCUAUAAAAGAAGUUUUAAAAAUUAGCCAGGUGUGAUGGCUCAUGCUUGUAGUCCCAGCUAAUUGGGAGGCUGAGGUAGGAGGAUCGUUUCUUGAGCCCUGGAGGUUGAGGCUGCAGUGAGCCAUGAUUGCACCACUGCACUCCAGCCUGGGCAACAGAAUGAGACCCUGUCUCAAAAAAUAAAAUUAAAUUAGAAAACAAUAAUAAUUAUUAUUAAUAAAUAAAAUAGUCCAAUGAAAAUAAUCAUACUAUCUCCAUGCAAUGGAAUUCUAUACAAGAGUGAAAAUGAACUAACUCCGGACAUGCGUAUCAGUACACUGAACUUCAGAACUAUAAUUAUGGGUGGGACAAAAGCCAGCCAUAGAAAACUAUUCUAUUCAUAAUCCCAAAAAGGUAGUAUACCAUAUUCAAUUAUUAUAUAUAUUUAUGUCUUGUUAUAUAUAAUGUUUAUUACAUUUAUCUUAGUAUAAAAAUAUAGUAUAUUUAUCAUAAUCUAUUAUAAACAAGUAGUAGGAUUAUAAAAAGACAAAAAGGGCAGGAUAAGCGUAAAAUUCAUGAUAGUAUUUAGGGGAAGAGGAGGGUGGGGCUGGAGAGAGGCACAUGGUUUCAAAAGCCCAGCUUCUUUGUCUAAAACAGGGCGUGGGUACCCAUACUGGUCUAUUGUAUUGUGGGUGUCUUUAAAAUGUAUAUAUAUUCUAUAACUACUAUUUUUGUAUCUAC